rnacentral:lncRNA from 1 species
UUUUUUUUUUUUUUUUUUGAUACAAAAAUGUAAGCCGGGCACAGUGGCUCACGCCUGUAAUCCCAGCAUUUUGGGAGGCCAAGGCGGGUAGAUCACCUGAGGUAGGGAGUUCGAGACCAGCCUGACCAACAUGGAGAAACCCUGUCUACUAAAAAUACAAAAUUAGCUGGGCGUGGUGGCGCAUGCCUAUAAUCCCAGCUACUUGGGAGGCUGAGGCAGAAAAAUUGUUUGAACCCGGGAGGCAAAGGUUGUGGUAGGCUAAGAUCAUGCCAUUGCACUGUAGCCUGGGUAACAGGGGCAAAACUCCCAUCUCAACGAAAAAAAAAAAAAAAAGUAAAAUUACCAAAGACAUUUUGGACUGAAUAUUAGAUGAUAUUAGUGAAUCACUGUAAAUUUCCUUGGAUGUGAUCAUUGUAUUUAGGAGAAUAUUCUUUAAACGUUUUUUUUGUUUUAAUUUUUUUGAGACAGGGUGUCAGUCUGUUGCCCAGGCUGGAGUGCAGUGGCAUGAUCUUGGCUCACUGCAACCUCUACCUCCUGGGUUCAAGCAAUCCUCCUGCCUCUGCCUCCCAAGUAGCUGGGAUUACAACCGUGGGCCACCAUGCCCAGCUAAGAGGAGAAUGCUCUUAUUUGUAGGAAAUGCAUGUUAAACCUUUGGGGGGCUGAAGUGUGAUAUCUACUAUAUAUCAAAUAUGGGAAAAUUAUAACAAAAUUCAAAUCUAGGUAUGUGGGUGAUGGGUAGACAUUCAUUGUUCUGUUCUAUUAUUUCAACUUUUCUCUGUGUUUGAAGUUUUUCAUAUAAAAAGGUAGGAGACGUCAGGUGCGGUGGCUCACGCCUAUAAUCCCAGCACUUUGGGAGGCUAAGGUGGGUGGAUCACUUGAGGUCAGGAGUUUGAGACCCUGUCUGGUGAGCUCCUGGCAGAGUUCAGGUGAAACCCCGUCUCUACUAAAAAUACAAAAAUUAGCCAGGAAUGGUGGUGGGCGCCUGUAAUCCCAGCUACUCGGGAGGCUGAGGCAGGAGAAUUACUUGAACUCAGGAGGUGGAGGCUGCAGUGAGCUGAGAUUGCAUCACCGCACUCCAGCCUGGGCAACAAAGCAAGACUCCAUCUCAAAAAAAAAAUGUUAGGAGAGAAAUAUUAUUUUUUCACAUCUCACUAGCUAUCUAGAAUACAGUCAGGAAGGGAAAAAGCUUGGAAACUCUGCUGUCCAUAGCAGCAGAAGGCACUGAGGGGCUGGGGAACUAGAAGGAUGGUGUAUAUGUAUGUAUGGGCAGGGGUCGGGGGGAUGCUGCAUAAAAGCCAGGGAAAUGAAAAAAUCCAAAGAUGAAGUGCUGGCUAAUAUAAGCCAAGUCGGCAUUUUAUUAUAAAUAGUGAUCAAAGAGAAUUAAUGGUGGCCACCCAGGUUCCCAGCUCUUUCAUCACAAGCUUCUUGUGUGACUACAUAAAGAACCUCAUUUUGCUGAAGAAGAACCUCAUCUUAAAUCACCUCAUUCCAACAGCCUGAGAAGCAUAGGAGUACAUUGUGGUGCCAGAACCAGGUGCCCUGGUGCCACCUGCGAUCCCAGCUACUGCUACCUAGAAGGCUGGAGGAUUGGUU